rnacentral:sRNA from 1 species
AGUUGCACGCUGAGCCGCGGACACCAUGCAGUCGGAUGAUGUUAUCUGGGAUACACUAGGAAACAAGCAAUUUUGUUCCUUCAAAAUAAGAACCAAGACUCAGAGCUUCUGCCGAAACGAAUAUAGCCUGACUGGACUGUGUAAUCGGUCAUCCUGUCCCCUGGCAAAUAGUCAGUAUGCCACUAUUAAAGAAGAGAAAGGUAACUCCCCAGUUUUAACUUCUAGAAGAACUGCUCCACAGCUUUUACAGGGAUGUUCUUUAGUUUCUGUAAAUAAGACUAAAGUUAUUUUACUUUAUCCUCAGGACAGUGCUACUUGUAUAUGAAGGUUAUAGAACGAGCAGCUUUUCCUCGGCGUCUCUGGGAACGGGUAAGCCUUACAACAAAACUACAGUGACCGUUGAUCAAGAGCAUCAAAGCCACAUGCUUGACCAUGAUGCCCAAUUCCAUGACCAUUAACUUUUGAGGCCAUCCUCAUUAGGCCAUAGGUGUCACUGACAGUGAAAACCUAAUGAAUCAUUUACACUUGCCCUUCAAACUUCCUUUUUCUGUUUGGUAGGUCCGGCUUAGUAAAAACUAUGAGA